CGGGGCUCAACGCCUUGUAAUUGGAAUGAUGGGAACCUAAACCCCUUCCAGAGUAUCAAUUGGAGGGCAAGUCUGGUGCCAGCAGCCGCGGUAAUUCCAGCUCCAAUAGCGUAUAUUAAAAUUGUUGCAGUUAAAAAGCUCGUAGUUGAAUUUCUGCCGCCCCGCCGCGGCCCCCGGGCCCGACGUCGCGGCUUAUUUCGGCGACCUCGCGCCGCCGAAUGUUUACUUUGAGAAAAUUAGAGUGCUCAAAGCAGGCCCUUGCCUUGAAUACUUUAGCAUGGAAUAAUAAAGUAGGACUUUGGUUCUAUUUUGUUGGUUUAGCGCCAAAGUAAUGGUUAAUAGGAACAGUUGGGGGCAUUCGUAUUUAACUGUCAGAGGUGAAAUUCUUAGAUUUGUUAAAGACGAACCACUGCGAAAGCAUUUGCCAAGGAUGUUUUCAUUAAUCAAGAAC
rnacentral:rRNA from 2 species